CAGGACUAGAAGGAACAGGGUGUGAACCCUGUCAGGACUAUGGGGCAGAGGUUCCCAUUCAUGGACAGUAUGAACAGACCAAACCCCACAAGCUCCAUACAGUAUGUUUCACAAAUAAGAGAACAGCAACAGCACAAGGCAUCAGGAGAAGGGUGCAAAACAAGGGAAGCCAGGGAAGUCACCUACAGGAUUCAGAGAUUUUCCAGCUUGCCUAAGAGAUCUGAAAAUGCAGCGUGUCCAAAUCCCUUGGCUGCCAGGCAAAAUCAGAGCCAAACCCAUUAGCAUUUAGUGGAAAUGCUCUGUGUGUCCUUCCGUCAGCAUUGCUGGUGGUGGAGACUGCCGGAACCACAGGAAGUCAGUGACAGUUGCUGGAAUCAGCUCCGAAACUCCCGUGUUGGUACCAGACAGGAUGUUCCACUGAGGCAGACUUGGACC
rnacentral:lncRNA from 1 species